AUAGCUCAGUGGAAGAGUGUGUGCUUAGCAUGCACAAGGUCCUGGGUUCAAUCCUUAGU
rnacentral:tRNA from 1 species